CUUACUUUAUCCACUGACGCCAAUGCAAACUAGUAUAUUCCAAUGUAUCGAAGACAUAAACGAAUCUAAAACGAUGCGAAGAAAGACUUUUAUGGAUCAAACAAUAAGAUAAAUUUCUUCUACCAAAUUAGAAUCGACAGCUUCGCGAGACAUAGUCCAAUCUGACGUUUACAGUUCGCUAUGUAACUUCGGUUAUUUGUGUCGUUUGGGAUGCGGCCAAAUGCAGGUUUGACACAGAGAAAGCAAUUUAAUUGCGAGUUCUUCCGCGGAAUCCAUCUUGCAUCAUGAAUAAAGUCCAACGUUUAUUUUUAACCCAUUACGCGAACUUAACGGUAUGGAACCUGACGUCCGCUCGAAGUAGUCCUCCUACAGAAUAAUCUUUCUUUUUUUCUUUCCUUUUUUUCCCUUGUUAUUCUUUUUAUCUAUAAGGUACGAUGUCACAAACUUUUUCUAUUUACGAUGCUUCGCCAAUCGAUAUAAAAAGUCCUAGCAAAAUUAUUGUUUCUCUAACUAGCACCAGCAAUGCUUCUCUGUUAUCUUUACCCUGGAUUCUUAUUGAUAAAGAAUGAAAAAGAAUGUUUCGCGAGCUCUAUAUUGAUAAUAUGAAGUAGAGAAAAGGGAAAAGUUAAAGAAAAAAAGUGAAAUAAAAAAGUUCGCGCUUGUAAAUAAAAUGCAUUAUAUAAUGAAUUAUU